UACGUAGGGUGCGAGCGUUAAUCGGAAUUACUGGGCGUAAAGUGUGCGCAGGCGGCGUUGCAAGUCGAGUGUGAAAUCCCCGGGCUUAACCUGGGAACUGCACUUGAAACUACGAUGCUGGAGUAUGGCAGAGGGAGGUGGAAUUCCACGUGUAGCGGUGAAAUGCGUAGAGAUGUGGAGGAACACCGAUGGCGAAGGCAGCCUCCUGGGCCAAUACUGCACG
rnacentral:rRNA from 1 species